GUAUCGAAUCCUCCACUCAUCACAUAACUGAGUACAUUGUAAUUUUUGAGAUGCUCCAUUUUCUGUCACAUAUAUGGGAGGAUCACCAUACUGCGUCUGCAAGUGUUGAUGUGGAAAGAUGUGAUGCCUGGAGCUCCUGUAGCCAUCUUGUGGCCACGAGGGGAGUGCUUGAUGGGCUCUCUAAAGGGGCCGGAGUAGAAAGACAGAAUGAGCCUGGGUCCUCAAAAUCCCUGGAGGGGGCGUUUUUAAGGCUGGAUUAACCGACCCUGAAUCACCCUUCUCUGGACUCAGGUCCUCCUGGGUCAGGGCCCCUGGCGCUGGCUCCUUCGUUGUCAUACUCUCACCGCUGAGCCCUGCACAGAUGUCCCAUAGUGUCCACCAGUCCCCUGUGGAUAGAAUGGACACCUCGUUCUCACACCCUCUGCCCUCACAAAGGCUGCUGUGAUGACUGUGCCUGCACAUGGUGCUCCCUUGCUGUGAGAGAAGCCAGCUGCCACGUUGAGGUUAUCUGGUGCCCACCAGUUGGCGGACUCGUGUCUCCUUCUAGAGC